AUUGUACGCUGGCGGCAGGCCUAACACAUGCAAGUCGAACGGUAACAGGAAACAGCUUGCUGUUUCGCUGACGAGUGGCGGACGGGUGAGUAAUGUCUGGGAAACUGCCUGAUGGAGGGGGAUAACUACUGGAAACGGUAGCUAAUACCGCAUAACGUCGCAAGACCAAAGAGGGGGACCCUCGGGCCUCUUGCCAUCGGAUGUGCCCAGAUGGGAUUAGCUUGUUGGUGGGGUAACGGCUCACCAAGGCGACGAUCCCUAGCUGGUCUGAGAGGAUGACCAGCCACACUGGAACUGAGACACGGUCCAGACUCCUACGGGAGGCAGCAGUGGGGAAUAUUGCACAAUGGGCGCAAGCCUGAUGCAGCCAUGCCGCGUGUAUGAAGAAGGCCUUCGGGUUGUAAAGUACUUUCAGCGGGGAGGAAGGGAGUAAAGUUAAUACCUUUGCUCAUUGACGUUACCCGCAGAAGAAGCACCGGCUAACUCCGU
rnacentral:rRNA from 1 species